rnacentral:ncRNA from 2 species
GAUUUAUAAAGAAGUGGUAAGAGAUCAGGCUCUGAGACCCACUGGCAACCUUCCAGCAAAAACGGAAAAGGUGCCAAAUCCUGCCCCGAAAGGGAAAUAUAAAUA